rnacentral:rRNA from 1 species
CAGGCUUAACACAUGCAAGUCGAGGGGCAGCAUGGUCUUAGCUUGCUAAGGCCGAUGGCGACCGGCGCACGGGUGAGUAACACGUAUCCAACCUGCCGUCUACUCUUGGACAGCCUUCUGAAAGGAAGAUUAAUACAAGAUGGCAUCAUGAGUCCGCAUGUUCACAUGAUUAAAGGUAUUCCGGUAGACGAUGGGGAUGCGUUCCAUUAGAUAGUAGGCGGGGUAACGGCCCACCUAGUCUUCGAUGGAUAGGGGUUCUGAGAGGAAGGUCCCCCACAUUGGAACUGAGACACGGUCCAAACUCCUACGGGAGGCAGCAGUGAGGAAUAUUGGUCAAUGGGCGAGAGCCUGAACCAGCCAAGUAGCGUGAAGGAUGACUGCCCUAUGGGUUGUAAACUUCUUUUAUAAAGGAAUAAAGUCGGGUAUGGAUACCCGUUUGCAUGUACUUUAUGAAUAAGGAUCGGCUAACUCCGUGCCAGCAGCCGCGGUAAUACGGAGGAUCCGAGCGUUAUCCGGAUUUAUUGGGUUUAAAGGGAGCGUAGAUGGAUGUUUAAGUCAGUUGUGAAAGUUUGCGGCUCAACCGUAAAAUUGCAGUUGAUACUGGAUAUCUUGAGUGCAGUUGAGGCAGGCGGAAUUCGUGGUGUAGCGGUGAAAUGCUUAGAUAUCACGAAGAACUCCGAUUGCGAAGGCAGCCUGCUAAGCUGCAACUGACAUUGAGGCUCGGAAGUGUGGGUAUCAAACAGGAUUAGAUACCCUGGUAGUCCACACGGUAAACGAUGAAUACUCGCUGUUUGCGAUAUACAGCAAGCGGCCAAGCGAAAGCGUUAAGUAUUCCACCUGGGGAGUACGCCGGCAACGGUGAAACUCAAAGGAAUUGACGGGGGCCCGCACAAGCGGAGGAACAUGUGGUUUAAUUCGAUGAUACGCGAGGAACCUUACCCGGGCUUAAAUUGCAGAUGAAUUACGGUGAAAGCCGUAAGCCGCAAGGCAUCUGUGAAGGUGCUGCAUGGUUGUCGUCAGCUCGUGCCGUGAGGUGUCGGCUUAAGUGCCAUAACGAGCGCAACCCUUGUUGUCAGUUACUAACAGGUUCCGCUGAGGACUCUGACAAGACUGCCAUCGUAAGAUGUGAGGAAGGUGGGGAUGACGUCAAAUCAGCACGGCCCUUACGUCCGGGGCUACACACGUGUUACAAUGGGGGGUACAGAGGGCCGCUACCACGCGAGUGGAUGCCAAUCCCCAAAACCUCUCUCAGUUCGGACUGGAGUCUGCAACCCGACUCCACGAAGCUGGAUUCGCUAGUAAUCGCGCAUCAGCCACGGCGCGGUGAAUACGUUCCCGGGCCUUGUACACACCGCCCGUCAAGCCAUGGGAGCCGGGGGUACCUGAAGUGCGUAACCGCGAGGAGCGCCCUAGGGUAAAACUGGUGACUGGGGC